CAGUAGCCGCGGUAAUACGUAGGGUGCAAGCGUUAAUCGGAAUUACUGGGCGUAAAGCGUGCGCAGGCGGUUUGUUAAGACAGAUGUGAAAUCCCCGGGCUCAACCUGGGAACUGCAUUUGUGACUGGCAAGCUAGAGUAUGGCAGAGGGGGGUGGAAUUCCGCGUGUAGCAGUGAAAUGCGUAGAUAUGCGGAGGAACACCGAUGGCGAAGGCAGCCCCCUGGGCCAAUACUGACGCUCAUGCACGAAAGCGUGGGGAGCAAACAGGAUUAGAUACCCCCGUAGUCCCUGUCUCUUAUAC
rnacentral:rRNA from 1 species